rnacentral:lncRNA from 1 species
UGUUCCUUCUACAUCUACUAUUUGUGUUACAUCUUCUGCGGCUUCUAUGACUCUUCCAGGUGUUCAACCUUCUGCUGGU